CCUACGGGAGGCAGCAGUGGGGAAUAUUGCACAAUGGGGGAAACCCUGAUGCAGCGACGCCGCGUGAGCGAUGAAGUAUUUAGGUAUGUAAAGCUCUAUCAGCAGGGAAGAAAAUGACGGUACCUGACUAAGAAGCCCCGGCUAACUAAGUGCCAGCAGCCGCGGUAAUACGUAGGGGGCAAGCGGUAUCCGGAUUUACUGGGUGUAAAGGGAGCGUUGACGGCUUGGCAAGCCAGAUGUGAAAGGCUGGGGCCCAACUCCGGGACUGCUUUUGAAACUGUGUUGCUAGAUUGCAGGAGAGGUAAGUGGAAUGCGUAGUGUAGCGGUGAAAUGCGUAGAUAUUAGGAGGAACACCAGUGGCGAAGGCGGCUUACUGGACUGUAAAUGACGCUGAGGCUCGAAAGCGUGGGGAGCAAACAGGAUUAGAUACCCCAGUAGUC
rnacentral:rRNA from 1 species